rnacentral:rRNA from 2 species
AUGAUAAUACCCGAUAGGUCAUUAUGCCUGGAAUGGUUUAUGGCUUAAAUGAAUUUCGCCAUAGGAUGGGACUGCGGCCUAUCAGCUUGUUGGUGAGGUAAUGGCCCACCAAGGCUAUAACAGGUACGGGCUCUGAGAGGAGUAGCCCGGAGAUGGGUACUGAGACAAGGACCCAGGUCCUAUGGGACGCAGCAGGCGAGAAAACUUUGCAAUGUGCGAAAGCACGACAAGGUUAAUCCGAGUGUUUCCUGCUAAAGGAAUCUUUUGUUAGUCGUAGAACCACUAGUGAAUAAGGGGUGGGCAAGUUCUGGUGUCAGCCGCCGCGGUAAAACCAGCACCUCAAGUGGUCAGGAGGAUUAUUGGGCCUAAAGCAUCCGUAGCCUGUUUUGUAAGUCUUCGGUUAAAUCCACAUGCUUAACAUGUGGGCUGCCGGAGAUACUGCAAAACUAGGGAGUGGGAGAGGUAGACGGUACUUGAUAGGAAGGGGUAAAAUCCUUUGAUCUAUUGAUGACCACCUGUGGCGAAGGCGGUCUACCAGAACACGUUCGACGGUGAGGGAUGAAAGCUGGGGGAGCAAACCGGAUUAGAUACCCGGGUAGUCCCAGCUGUAAACGAUGCAGACUCGGUGAUGCAUUGGUUUAUUGCCAGUGCAGUGCCGCAGGGAAGCCGUUAAGUCUGCCGCCUGGGAGAUACGUACGCAAGUAUGAAACUUAAAGGAAUUGGCGGGGGAGCUCCACAAGGGGUGAAGCCUGCGGUUCAAUUGG